rnacentral:rRNA from 1 species
AGUGAACGCUGGCGGCAGGCCUAACACAUGCAAGUCGAGCGGCAGCGCGGGGGCAACCCUGGCGGCGAGCGGCGGACGGGUGAGGAACACAUCGGAAUCUACCUUGUCGUGGGGGAUAACGUAGGGAAACUUACGCUAAUACCGCAUACGACCUACGGGUGAAAGCGGCGGACCGCAAGGCGUCGCGCGAUUGGAUGAGCCGAUGUCCGAUUAGCUAGUUGGCGGGGUAAAGCCCACCAAGGCGACGAUCGGUAGCUGGUCUGAGAGGACGACCAGCCACACUGGAACUGAGACACGGUCCAGACUCCUACGGGAGGCAGCAGUGGGGAAUAUUGGACAAUGGGCGCAAGCCUGAUCCAGCCAUGCCGCGUGGGUGAAGAAGG